rnacentral:tmRNA from 1 species
GGGCGCGUACUGGUUUCGAUUUUAAGAAAAUAAAUUGAAAUGCAAGUGGAGGUUGAAUCGAGGACUCCUUAAAAAGUUUCAAUUAUAUUAACUGCCAAAACAGCUAAAUAUAAAGGUCAUAUCUCUGCUAGAGUUUCUCUAGUUGAGAUGACCGCUUCUGUAGCCUAAGUUCUACAGCGUGACUACCUUGACACAUCUAUUGGAUAGUUGCGUAAUUAGAUGUCUUAUUAUUUAUAGUUUUUUUGUUCUAUCAGUAUUAAGUAUUAAAAAUAAAAUCGCUAAGUAUGUUUGUUCUUUAUCUAUACAAAGCUAAAAAUAAAAAGAACUAAACUUGUAGUAUUUUAAUUUAGAUUUUUAAAAGAC